AACGAACGCUGGCGGCAGGCCUAACACAUGCAAGUCGAACGCCCUAGCAAUAGGGAGUGGCAGACGGGUGAGUAACGCGUGGGAACCUUCCCUGUGGUGCGGAAUAACUCGCCGAAAGGCGUGCUAAUACCGCAUAAGCCCGCAAGGGGAAAGAUUUAUCGCCAUAGGAUGGGCCCGCGUAGGAUUAGCUAGUUGGUGAGGUAAUGGCUCACCAAGGCGACGAUCCUUAGCUGGUGAGAGUAUGACCAGCCACACUGGGACUGAGACACGGCCCAGACUCCUACGGGAGGCAGCAGUGGGGAAUCUUGGACAAUGGGCGCAAGCCUGAUCCAGCCAUGCCGCGUGAGUGAAGAAGGCCUUAGGGUUGUAAAGCUCUUUUACCAGGGACGAUAAUGACGGUACCUGGAGAAUAAGCCCCGGCAAACUUCGUGCCAGCAGCCGCUGUAAG
rnacentral:rRNA from 1 species